UCCACCAGGCAGGUAGUCAGCAACAGCGGGCACUGUUGGCAGAGACAAGAACCCUCUUGCUUUCCUUCCUGGAGAAGGGACUUGAGUGUCACACUUGCUCCCUGGCCGGGAGAAGACCUGGCAGAGAGGAUCGGCAAGCCAUGGGCAUUUUGCACUCCCAGAAACUUCCCCACCACCUGGUCAAGCCAAUUCGAUGACUAUUGUUUCUGGAUGUGGGCUGGAAGACAGGCAGAGGUAUCUCAGGCUGUCUGGAACCUUCAGCAGGGAGGAGGGCAAGCUGCCUGCUUGCUCCUCAGCUCUCUCUUUCUCAAGGGCUUCAGGAAGCUGGAGAGAUUCAGAGGUGGUUUCUUCCCCUUUCUUGAAAGUGUGGCUAAAAAUAAAAAGAGUACUGAAACCAAGCCCAGCCCACGAAGCAGUGUGUAGGUGUGAUGCUAACCAACACCUGGGGCUGUGAAGCGUCCCAGGGGAGCUGGCAUCCAUCUGGUAGACAUGUUGGCUCUUUCUCCUCAUUCUUUCCUUGGCACCUUUUCAAAGAGCACACGAGAUGAUGAAUCUAAUGUCGUUUUGUUUGAAAAUGCCCUACACAUAUUGUUACGGUUAUAAGGAGAAGAGGACAACAACAGGACAGUGGUUUUCAUUUGCAAAACCUACCAGGACCCUCAGGCUGCUACUGUGCUCUCUGCUUUUAUUUCAUGGCUGAAGGUUUCUAGAGGUGGCUGGUAGAAAAUGGUGAAGGCAGAUAGUUCGUCAUGGUGAAAAACCAGGAUGUCUCUGAGGUUUUGCUCUUGGUAGAGGUAAAUAGACCAGCGGACAACAUGCGGUGCACAGCGGUGAGUUCUUGGACGGACCUGGGUGGCAAAGGGGGAAGGUUAAAUGGAAAGGAUCUGCUCCAAGUGUCGUGAAACCUCAGCUCAAGACCUGAAAGGAAGGGUGCCGUGGCAGUUGACUUGUUAUAGGUUCUCUGUGGCAGGGCAAUGUGGACGUGCCAGCCCCAUGGUGAACCCUUCACUCACACCCUCUCAGAGUGUGCAUGGGUAGGUUUUGUGUGUGUGAUGGGGAGACAUAGGUCCUCCCUGAAGAUGGAGGAUUUGUAGGGCCUUGCCAUAGUGAGAAAAGUCAUAAAACAUGUGCAUGCCACUGCCACAGUCUCCCCAGAAGACCCGUGCCUCCACUCUGCCAUAGCAAAGGGGAUUGGGGCAGGGUGGGCAUUAACAUACUGAUCCUUACACAGCCUUGAGAGCUACAGCUAUGGUGGGUGAAGGGCUGUAGUGGACAAACACGGACUUAGUGUCACCUGUAAUCAGCAGAGAUUGGCAUUUGGGUAUGGAGGGAAUUUGCCACUGUUGGGUUCAGUAAAUUGCUUGGUGAUACUGUGACCUUGGAGCAGCUGAUAAGGAUAUGGCCUUUGCAUGGCCAGGAGGAGCUGUGUGCAGCCUUAGGGAUGGGAGCAUUACCUUGCGAUGCAAAAAAGCCUGAGGUUUGGUGGCUAAAGGUAGCGCAGGCGGGACUGUGCACAUACAAGAUGAGUUUUAUGAGGUGCAUUGGUCUGCAAUAGCCUACUCGGGCGCAGGGUCCCAGCUACUGCAGCCAGCUGAGAGGCAGUAAUUCCCCUUUUCGCCCUACGUUCUCCAUCCCCAAUGCCUUUGGUAGGACUAGGAAAUGGUAGGAAAGAAAGUAUCCUCAGAGCAAGCCAAGUCAUGGAGCAGCAAAGCUGGAAGGAGGGCUGUGAAAACCCAGGUGGGAACCAAACGGGCUGUACUUCCAGUGGCAAAUUCUCAGAGAUGGGCUUCCAGGGGCAGUCCUGGAUAGUGUUGCCUACGGACACCAGCAAAACAAAAAGCCAUGAACGUUGCCUAGACCCCGCAUUAACGUCCUUUCCCACUAUCCACAACCUCUGCUGAUGUAAAUAUGCAGCUGGAAGCAGUUUAUUCCCUGUCAGCCCUUUCCUGCUUAUCUGGAGCCAGCGGCGAGAGCAGGAGCCGCUCUCGCAGAGGGACCCUGCAAAUCCUCGGACGAACGCCUGGACCGAGCGCUGUUUCCCAGGGGGAUCGAGGAGGAGGAUGUGAUUAGUGUUUUCUGCCAUGGGAUGUCAGCUGAGGGAUGAGAACCAUGUGCCAAGAGGAGGAAAGAGCUGCCACGGAUGGAUGGAUAUUCUUCUCCGCACCUCACCUGACAUCCAGCGGAGGCAAAGAAAUAAAUGCAUGGAUCCAGGUAUUGCCUGCUGCUGGGCUGGUAUCACAAGCACUCCGGAGCAGUAACAAGAGUGCUGGCACCACAGAUUUCACCUUUAAUUUAAACCGUCCUUUUUAGGGACGGGGCCAGAGCUGGCCCUGCAAGGGAGAAUCCAGCUCCAAACACUCCAAGGAAGCAAACAGACCCUUUAAAGACAUUUAAUGCUGAUGAAAGCAGGGAGGGAUUCAACGUAAAGCCACAAAACCAAUUUUGAGGAAGAAAUGCAGCUUGUCUCCUGUUCCCCAUCCUGCAAACUGAAAGGGAGAGGCUGUCCAUCACUGCCUGUCGUUUCGGGUCAGCAUCCCAGGCAAGGGCAGCAUCCCUGGGUGCUCAACGGACUCUUUGAGUGUGGUUCUGUUUAGGUUGGCCACCGCUGAUCCCAGCCUGUCUUCGGCACACGGACGCUUUUAAGCCCUCGGGGAGGGGUCGGCGUGGCCAGCCAGAGGGGGAGAGCGCCAGCCCACUGCACACUCCGCGGCUGCCGAGGACACUGCUGCGAUUCAUUCAUGUCCCCGCUCAGGGCACAGACUGUAAACACGGCAGGGAAGCCAGGCCACGUCCCAGCCCAGCUUGGCUGCCUGCCUCGUCG